rnacentral:rRNA from 1 species
UACGUAGGGUGCAAGCGUUGUCCGGAAUUAUUGGGCGUAAAGAGCUCGUAGGCGGUCUGUCGCGUCUGCUGUGAAAACUCAGGGCUUAACCCUGAGCUUGCAGUGGGUACGGGCAGACUAGAGUGCGGUAGGGGAGACUGGAAUUCCUGGUGUAGCGGUGAAAUGCGCAGAUAUCAGGAGGAACACCGGUGGCGAAGGCGGGUCUCUGGGCCGUAACUGACGCUGAGGCGCGAAAGCCAGGGGAGCAAACGGG